rnacentral:lncRNA from 1 species
CCUCUCCAUCCCCAGUCAGGGAUAGGAAGGUGAUUGAAGGUGCUGUAGGCGGUCCCUCUCAGUCCAGUGAAAGACAACAUAAUGGUACAAUAUCCAGUUACUCCCACCUCAUCAGCUCACCUGGGCUCCAGCUGCAUCUCAUCUUCAAUCAAGCCAGUGAAAUUUAAUGUCCCUCUUGUCUUUUUUUCUUCUUCUGGGAACUCCUUCUCCAAACAUUAAAGAGACAUGGAUAAAGGAUACAGCUGAGGAGAUUUCAAAUGAGUUAUCGUCGGAAGAGUUAGAUAGGAUCAAAGGAAUGCUAGAUUUAAACUUUUUCAGUUUUAAAAUGAUAUAGCUUCACUUUUCCAAGACAAACUAAACAGAAUCUUUUCUUAUUUCUCUGUUACCUGUGAUAAGUGUGAGUCAGGUGACUGGACUUUAGGUCAUCUUUUCUGGUCUUGGCAUAAACUCAAGAGUGUCCGGAAUGAUAUUUUUUUAUUUGUACAUAUACAGUAAACAGCUAAUCUAUUGUGAUAUUACACUGUAGGCUAUCGCAAUCAUCAUCUAAGUGACAUGCAUGUAAAAAGAAAUCUCUGCAAACUGGCUAUUUGUUUUACAUUGUCAAGUCUAGUUGUUUUUUAUCUUUUGUGUUAUAAAAAAAGGAAAAUAAUACUUAAACAUGUAUUUAAAGAGAACUGUUCUCCAUUGCAAUAAAUACUCUGAACACUUCCACUAACCAUGACAGAUGUUCUGCAUAUUUAGCAAUUUUGUAAAUAUUGUCUGUGAAUUUCGUCUUGUGGUAAUAUAUGAAAAUGUCUGUUGUGUUAGUCAUGUGUCUAAUCUGAUGUUGAUAUUUCUCUAAAUGUGAUGUUACUGACAUUGCUCUAAUGAGUUUACCCAACGUGCUGUACGGAAAGCAAAUUGCACAAACCUUGUGUGGUCAUUAAUAAUAAAUGUUUGAAUGAAUGAUUGAAAAUGAUUUCUCUUGAGAUUUCUGAGCUGUUUAUCUGUCAUAAGUUAAAUGCUGAUUGUUGCUUAUUUGGUCAUGAAUAUUAAAUUCUAUAGAGUAAUUCUUAAGUUUUGAAACCAAGUUUUCAGGGGCUUUAAGUUAGCAUUAUUGUUUUCAACCAAGACAAGAAUAUGUUCCUAAC